rnacentral:rRNA from 1 species
GAUGAACGCUGGCGGCGUGCCUAAUACAUGCAAGUCGAGCGAAUGGAUUAAGAGCUUGCUCUUAUGAAGUUAGCGGCGGACGGGUGAGUAACACGUGGGUAACCUGCCCAUAAGACUGGGAUAACUCCGGGAAACCGGGGCUAAUACCGGAUAAUAUUUUGAACUGCAUGGGUCAAAAUUGAAAGGCGGCUUCGGCUGUCACUUAUGGAUGGACCCGCGUCGCAUUAGCUAGGUGGUGAGGUAACGGCUCACCAAGGCAACGAUGCGUAGCCGACCUGAGAGGGUGAUCGGCCACACUGGGACUGAGACACGGCCCAGACUCCUACGGGAGGCAGCAGCAGGGAAUCUUCCGCAAUGGACGAAAGUCUGACGGAGCAACGCCGCGUGAGUGAUGAAGGCUUUCGGGUCGUAAAACUCUGUUGUUAGGGAAGAACAAGUGCUAGUUGAAUAAGCUGGCACCUUGACGGUACCUAACCAGAAAGCCACGGCUAACUACGUGCCAGCCGCCGCGGUAA